AGCGAACGCUGGCGGCAGGCCUAACACAUGCAAGUCGAACGGCAGCACAGGAGAGCUUGCUCUCUGGGUGGCGAGUGGCGGACGGGUGAGGAAUACAUCGGAAUCUACUCUGUCGUGGGGGAUAACGUAGGGAAACUUACGCUAAUACCGCAUACGACCUACGGGUGAAAGCAGGGGACCUUCGGGCCUUGCGCGAUUGAAUGAGCCGAUGUCGGAUUAGCUAGUUGGCGGGGUAAAGGCCCACCAAGGGGAGGAUCCGUAGCUGGUCUGAGAGGGUGAUCAGCCACACUGGAACUGAGACACGGUCCAGACUCCUACGGGAGGCAGCAGUGGGGAAUAUUGGACAAUGGGCGCAAGCCUGAUCCAGCCAUACCGCGUGGGUGAAGAAGGCCUUCGGGUUGUAAAGCCCUUUUGUUGGGAAAGAAAUCCAGCUGGCUAAUACCCGGUUGGGAUGACGGUACCCAAAGAAUAAGCACCGGCUAACUUCGUGCCAGCCGCCGCCGUAA
rnacentral:rRNA from 1 species